CGCGGGGUGGAGCAGCCCGGUAGCUCGUCAGGCUCAUAAUCUGAAGCCCGCAGGUUCAAAUCCUGCCCCCGCAACCA
rnacentral:tRNA from 1 species